UGAGCCGUAUGAAGGGAAACUUUCACGUACGGUUCUUAGGGGAGAGGAUUGUGGCAACACAGCCCUUUUAC
rnacentral:ncRNA from 1 species